rnacentral:sRNA from 1 species
GCAUAACGCCUCUAGGGUUCCGGCUUCACAAGCGUCAGGUCCGAGAGAGGCUCUCCCGCCUCGCGUGAAGCGCGGCGGAGCCACGGCGGGAUAAAAGCCCGGGAGAC